GACGAGGGGUCCAAGCGUUGUUCGGAAUUAUUGGGCGUAAAGCGGGUGUAGGUGGCUCUAUAAGUCAGGAGUGAAAUCCCCGAGCUUAACUUGGGAAGUGCUUUUGAUACUGCAGAGCUUGAAUGUGGGAGAGGAUCGUGGAAUUCCAGGUGUAGUGGUGAAAUGCGCAGAUAUCAGGAAGAACACCCGUGGCGAAGGCGGCUCUCUGGGACGGUACUGACGCUGAGACGCGAAAGCGUGGGGAGCGAACAGG
rnacentral:rRNA from 1 species